AUGCGAAACCGGGCGAUAGCCCGGUCUGCCAGGCGUGGUUGCCUGGUACUGAAGAGCAGCCAAGG
rnacentral:hammerhead_ribozyme from 1 species